ensembl:lncRNA
CUAACUUUCUCUUUGUAGGCUAUUUCUGCAUGUACUCCAGAAGGAGUUACCUGUAAACAUCUCUCCAAGUUCUCAAAAUUUAUCAGCUCACCAUGGAGGAAGAAAAGUUAACGGCAUGCCUUGAACUGGAAGCUUCUGGGAAUCUCAUUGUCUUAUUUUCAUCGCAAGCUAUUAACCUCACAUCGGAUUUUGUGAUGUGGACAAUGGAUUGGUUUCUUCCUGCUGAGCAGUUGAACUGUUGCUCAAGAGCGCUGUCAUCAGCAAAGAUGACUUAUUUUGAUGAUCUGCUCCAGAGCUGUCUCUGCUUUCCCUUAGAGGAUUUGGUGCCACAUCGGAUGGGUGAUGGAAUUCAUCCUUAUCUAACAUUAGUAUCUGUUUCAACCCACAGAAAAGGAGUGGGACUGCUUUUCUUGACCCACAGAGGCUGGGUCAAGAUGUACUGAUGUCGAAUGUUUUUCUUGGAAUACCCCAAUACUUCAGUGUGUCCCAAAAUGAAUCAUAAGGAAGUCUGUCAAACUCCUUCUCAAAAUCUGCUUGGUGUGGAAUUUGCCACUGGAUACUUAAUCUGAUGGUUGUCCUGAGGAUGCGAUAUCUGUUUGACACAUGAUCUUCCCAGGUUUAAGCAAACCUUGUCAAAACAGAAAAAAAGAAGCAUUAAGCAGCAAUUUUGAACUGAACUGAAGAACAGAUUUCACACAUGAGAAGGCUUAAGAUCCAGCACAAGAAGCCAACAUGGGCAUAUUCUUGUCUUCAUGCUAUUGUAAUUGUUUGAGUUGGUGAACUGCAUAACUAGCAUCUGGAUUAGUGAGAACUUGUGGUGCUGCAUAAAGAAAGAGGACACCUCGAGGUGUUUAAGAACCAUGGAGAUGUGGCACUUGGGGACAUGGUCAGUGGGCAUGGUGGGAUGGGUUGGGGUUGAGUUUGAUCUUGGAGAUCUUUUUCAACUUCAGUGAUUCUAUGAGUAAGCACUGGGAACAAAAUAUGAGACCAGAUUAUAAGUCUAUUGCAAAGGGUAAGACAGACACGCCAAAAAGAGCAUGAUUGGAGAUGCUCAGUAAUGCUACCAGCUCAGUGGGAAGGAUGUCCCCAAACUUUGUAGCUUAGGGAGGCUGAAGUGGACAGAGUCAGGAGGCAGUCUGUGAUGGUGUUGUCCAGUAGAUGUGAAAAAGGAGGAGGAAGAAAAUGAAAGAAAGGUGCAUAUCUUUCCAAAGACUAUAAAGUUUUACACUGCCACCAAAUUUUUGCUCCAAAUGUAGAUCUUCCUAAAUUUAGGUGAUGUCACUGCAGCUUAAAGUGUUUCCAGAGUCAGACAGCGCUGUGCAGUAGCUGUUUAAAUAGCCUUUUUUUGACCCAAACGCUGUGCACUGGUGCUAGUCAGUGUAAAUACCACCCU